GAAAUGCGAUACGUAGUGUGAAUUGCAGAAUUCCGUGAACCAUCGAAUUUUUGAACGCAUAUUGCGCUCAAGGCCUCGGCUAAGAGCAUGUCUGCCUCAGCGUCGGGUUAAUCGUCUCAUGCUUACCACUUGCUUGCAAGUGUGCAUGGGGAUCAAUCGCAGUCUGGGUCCUCACGGGUCCAGUCUGCCCAAGUAUUUAUUAGGUGCUUCCUUGCAUGGGUGCAAUUGUUUACUCACUUGCAUUCAACACAAGCCGCACUCGAGUAUGCAUCUCGUAUGUCUCUCGAAUCUGUGGUUUGGGCAUUGGAAUUCUCGAGGCUUUAAACCCCUCUUGACCCCCCCUAUCAAUAAUUGGAAACCCAACACUUCUCGACCUGAGCUCAGGCA
rnacentral:rRNA from 1 species